UACAGAGGUCUCAAGCGUUGUUCGGAUUCAUUGGGCGUAAAGGGUGUGUAGGUGGCGCGCUAAGUCGGGUGUGAAAUUUCGGAGCUUAACUCCGAAACUGCAUUCGAUACUGGCGUGCUUGAGGACUGGAGAGGAGACUGGAAUUUACGGUGUAGCAGUGAAAUGCGUAGAUAUCGUGAGGAAGACCAGUGGCGAAGGCGGAUCUCUGGACAGCUCCUGACGCUGAGGCGCGAAGGCUAGGGGAGCAAACGGG
rnacentral:rRNA from 1 species